GAUGAACGCUGGCGGCGUGCCUAAUACAUGCAAGUCGAACGGAAAGGCGAUGCUUUUGCGGGGUGCUCGAGUGGCGAACGGGUGAGUAAAACGCGAGUAAACUGCCCUUGACUUUGGGAUAACUUCAGGAAACAGGGGCUAAUACAGGAUAGGAGCUCCUGCAGCAUGGUGGGGGUUGGAAAGAUUCGGCGGUUGGGGAUGGGCUCGCGGCUUAUCAGCUUGCUGGUGGGGUAGUGGCUUACCAAGGUUUUGAAGGGUAGGCCGCCUGGGAGGGUGAACGGCCACAUAGGGUCUGAGGGGCGGCCCCGACUCCUACGGUAGGCAGCAGUGGGGAAUAUUGCACGAGGGGCGGAAGCCUGAUGCAGCAGCGCCGCGUGCCGGAUAACGGCCUUCUUGUUGUAAACCGCUUGCGCCUGUGACUAAGCGUGAGUGACGGUUACGGGUAAAGAAGCCCCGGCUUACUACCGU
rnacentral:rRNA from 1 species